UAAAGUUUAAAUUGAUUUAAUUAUUUUGUAGUUAAUUAUUUAAAUCUUCUUUAAAUUUAAUUCGUUCCAUUCAGUACCACGACUUUGAUAAGUAGUGCCGGAGUGAGGAAAGUAAAAAGAAAAAUUAUACCAGGGACCUUAAGAUUUCACCAUAUAUAAAAGGAUAUUAAUGGCCUCCUAUUUUAGAAGAGGUAACAAAAUAAUAAAGAUGGAAAUCAGAGAAGUGGUUGGAUCAGCUGAAUCUAAAAGAUUAAUGAAUACCGCAAGAAGAGGCUCAACAGCGAUAUGUAAAAACGAUUUAAGAUACUCCAAGACUUCCGUACUCAGACAGAAGAAGGAAACAGGAUUGGGAUAAAAGAAGAAAGAUAUCUUGCUGGUCUUUUGGAGGCAAUCAUGUAAUGAGGUGUUGUCCGACAGCAAUAUUGACGAAUAACAAUAAUGCAUUAUUAUCGGCGCAAGAAGAAGUUUAAGCGUUUCUUAGAAGGACAACUAAUAUCUCAAGAAGUCGAGAUCGUGAAGCGUUUCUUAGAAGGACAACUAAUAUCUCAAGAAUAGUAAAGAACAUCCGGAAAAUGGAGGAUUUCAAAAUUACCUGCAUGCAAUAUUUACUAAAAUAAUUUAUAUGUCGGAUUAGUUGAUUACGAUAAUGAAAGCGAUGUGGUACAUAAUAAUGUACAAGGAUAUGUCUUAAGUAAAUUAAUUUAAUGAUACAAUUUUUUUGUUUUAGAAAUCUCGAUUAUUUAACUAUUCAUCAUCGAUACUAGUAACUAGUAUCUUUAUAUGGAACAAAAGUCUAUUUAAAUGAAGAUGUGUUGUAUGUAAAUUUAGAUUAUGG